UUUUAUUGAGAUCAGAUGUUCUACAAAAACCCUCCUAAAACCCUCUCACACAUCCACCUCUUCAUUCUGCCGGCCAGCUCGCCUUCCCCCACACCCCCCAACACCAGCCCAUGUCCCCUCUUCUUCGCUUCCUCAUCCGCUCUCUCCCACCUCACUCCCACCUCCACCGCCGCACCUUCGUCGACGCCGCCGCCUUCAAAUGCGUCCGCGACCGCGGCCUCGACCACGCCGUCGAGCGAGAGAAGAACCUCCUUCCCCUAAUCAACACUAAGAACCUCAUCAAAUUAGAGCCCUCCAAGUCCCUCCCCAUCUCCAUCAUCGCCGACAACAGAGCCUCCCUCAAGAUCCCCACCCGCCCCAUCGAGUUCAUCCGCCGAUACCCCUCCGUUUUUCGCGAAUUCUUCCCCGCCGGCGCCGCGUUUCAGCCCCACAUCAAGCUUACUGAUGAAGCCCUCGACCUCGACUCUGAAGAGCAGAUAAUGUUCCAGAGCGAGAGCUACAAGAAGGACGUCGCCGACCGGGUCUUGAAGCUCUUGAUGCUCUGCAGAGGCAACAAAUUGCCGUUGAAUGUGAUCGAAAACCUGAAAUGGGAUCUGGGUCUUCCUCCGGAUUACGAGAGGAGCCUUAUCCCCGAGUUUCCAGACUAUUUUCGAAUUGUGGGCCGGGAGGAAACGAGGGUGUUGGAGCUCGUUUGCUGGAUUGAUGAAUUGGGGACUUCAAUUAUGGAGAAGAAGGCGAUGGGCGGGGUUUCGGAUUAUGCCAAAGGGAUGCCUAUAGCGUUUCCUAUGCAUUUUUCUAAAGGUUUCGAGAUGGAUAAGAAGUUGAAGAAGUGGGUGAGCUAUUGGCAGAAGCUGCCUUACGUUUCUCCUUAUGAAAAUGCGGAUUACCUUUCCCCGAAAAGCGACGAAUCGGACAAGUGGGCGGUCGCGGUUUUGCACGAGCUUCUUCAUAUUUUGGUUCCGAAGAAGACGGAGAAGGAGAACGUGCUGUGCCUUGGCGAGCAUUUGGGGAUUCGGUCGCGGUUUAAGCGAGCAUCGCUUAACCACCCUGGUAUUUUCUAUCUGUCAAGUAAGAUUGGAACUUACACUUUGGUUUUAAAAGAGGGUUAUAAGAGAGGUUUAUUAAUUGAGAAUCAUCCUUUAACGAGUAUGAGGAGUAAGUAUAUUCACCUUAUGAACACUGUAAAAGAAGAUAGUAAGCUGAUAAGUGUGCCGGGUGGUAGUGGAAAUGCUAAAAAACAGAAGAACAUUGAUUCUGAAUCAAAAGGAGAAAUGGAUGGAAAAGAGGAAGACAAUGAAGGGGUAUUGUAUGACUCCUCUGAUGCUGAAGAGGCUGAAGAUGGCGCUCUGCGUGGUGUUGCGAAAAAUACUACGGCUGCAAAUAGUAGACUAAGAACAAGGAAAAAGGAUGCGAAAGGGCGAGUCGGAAAUCGUGAAAGAGGGAGAAGAUCGGCUGGAGAACGUUCUGGCAAGGCUGGAGAAAGAGUUUCUCCUAUGGUUUCUACGAGUAUGGAAAUGCAAGGCAGAGGUUCGAGAGCGAGGCUUAAUCUCUCUAAAAGCAGGGGAAGGGAGGCGCCAGCCAAAUUGCCAAGUUAGCUAAGAUACAGCUAAUUUGCUGCAAUAAUGUAUUUACAGGUCAUGGCCAAACCAAAUUAAUUUUUGCCCUUGUAAUUUCUGGCUCGUUGUAGUUUCUUUGAAGAAGAAAAUUACCAUUGGUUGGCAUUUCACUCUGUCUUUCCACUUCCCUAUAAAGCGGACACGAAACUCUCGGAUGUUUGUUUUGGCAUUUAUUAUGAAAGCCUGGAACAAGGGCUGGAUCAAACAGACAUUGGAACUGCUCUAAGGAAACACAGUUAGUUCAUGCUGGAGCAAAUCUUUCUUUUUGGCGGCAAUGCGGUUGUAAGACCGACCCGUCUUUUGAGAAAUAUCCUGCAAUGUCUUCAUUACCAUGGCUGGAUACUCCAUUUUCUCCUCUUGCUUGUGGUCAGGCUGUGUUGCAGGAAAGCAAGAGAAACCGUUGGGAAAAAGAAAU